GAUUUCUGAAUAAUUAGUUUUUGAUCGGCUACGGUUUCGUAUGUUAGUAUUUUAAACUUUGUUCAUCCUUCCAAUAAUUCGCUUAUUGACUAUUCUUGAUUGAAUUGGUUAAUAGGUAUUGGAUCUUUUACUUUGAAAAAAUUAGAGUGUUUCAAGCAGGCUUUAAUGCUAUGAAUACAUUAGCAUGGAAUAAUAAUUUAGGACUUCGGUUCUAUUUUGUUGGUUUCUAGGACUGAAGUAAUGAUUGAUAGGGAUAGUUGGGGGUGCUAGUAUUCAGCGGCCAGAGGUGAAAUUCUCGGAUUCGCUGAAGACUAACUUAUGCGAAAGCAUU
rnacentral:rRNA from 1 species